GAUGAACGCUGGCGGCGUGCUUAACACAUGCAAGUCGAACGAUGAAGCCCAGCUUGCUGGGUGGAUUAGUGGCGAACGGGUGAGUAACACGUGAGUAACCUGCCCUUAACUCUGGGAUAAGCCUGGGAAACUGGGUCUAAUACCGGAUAGGAGCGUCCACCGCAUGGUGGGUGUUGGAAAGAUUUAUCGGAUUUGGAUGGACUCGCGGCCUAUCAGCUUGUUGGUGAGGUAAUGGCUCACCAAGGCGACGACGGGUAGCCGGCCUGAGAGGGUGACCGGCCACACUGGGACUGAGACACGGCCCAGACUCCUACGGGAGGCAGCAGUGGGGAAUAUUGCACAAUGGGCGCAAGCCUGAUGCAGCGACGCCGCGUGAGGGAUGACGGCCUUCGGGUUGUAAACCUCUUUCAGUAGGGAAGAAGCGAAAGUGACGGUACCUGCAGAAGAAGCACCGGCUAACUACGUG
rnacentral:rRNA from 1 species